rnacentral:rRNA from 1 species
AACGCUGGCGGCGUGCCUAAUACAUGCAAGUCGAACGCACAGCGAAAGGUGCUUGCACCUUUCAAGUGAGUGGCGAACGGGUGAGUAACACGUGGACAACCUGCCUCAAGGCUGGGGAUAACAUUUGGAAACAGAUGCUAAUACCGAAUAAAACUUAGUGUCGCAUGACACAAAGUUAAAAGGCGCUUCGGCGUCACCUAGAGAUGGAUCCGCGGUGCAUUAGUUAGUUGGUGGGGUAAAGGCCUACCAAGACAAUGAUGCAUAGCCGAGUUGAGAGACUGAUCGGCCACAUUGGGACUGAGACACGGCCCAAACUCCUACGGGAGGCUGCAGUAGGGAAUCUUCCACAAUGGGCGAAAGCCUGAUGGAGCAACGCCGCGUGUGUGAUGAAGGCUUUCGGGUCGUAAAGCACUGUUGUAUGGGAAGAACAGCUAGAAUAGGAAAUGAUUUUAGUUUGACGGUACCAUACCAGAAAGGGACGGCUAAAUACGUGCCAGCAGCCGCGGUAAUACGUAUGUCCCGAGCGUUAUCCGGAUUUAUUGGGCGUAAAGCGAGCGCAGACGGUUUAUUAAGUCUGAUGUGAAAGCCCGGAGCUCAACUCCGGAAUGGCAUUGGAAACUGGUUGACUUGAGUGCAGUAGAGGUAAGUGGAACUCCAUGUGUAGCGGUGGAAUGCGUAGAUAUAUGGAAGAACACCAGUGGCGAAGGCGGCUUACUGGACUGCAACUGACGUUGAGGCUCGAAAGUGUGGGUAGCAAACAGGAUUAGAUACCCUGGUAGUCCACACCGUAAACGAUGAACACUAGGUGUUAGGAGGUUUCCGCCUCUUAGUGCCGAAGCUAACGCAUUAAGUGUUCCGCCUGGGGAGUACGACCGCAAGGUUGAAACUCAAAGGAAUUGACGGGGACCCGCACAAGCGGUGGAGCAUGUGGUUUAAUUCGAAGCAACGCGAAGAACCUUACCAGGUCUUGACAUCCUUUGAAGCUUUUAGAGAUAGAAGUGUUCUCUUCGGAGACAAAGUGACAGGUGGUGCAUGGUCGUCGUCAGCUCGUGUCGUGAGAUGUUGGGUUAAGUCCCGCAACGAGCGCAACCCUUAUUGUUAGUUGCCAGCAUUCAGAUGGGCACUCUAGCGAGACUGCCGGUGACAAACCGGAGGAAGGCGGGGACGACGUCAGAUCAUCAUGCCCCUUAUGACCUGGGCUACACACGUGCUACAAUGGCGUAUACAACGAGUUGCCAACCCGCGAGGGUGAGCUAAUCUCUUAAAGUACGUCUCAGUUCGGAUUGUAGUCUGCAACUCGACUACAUGAAGUCGGAAUCGCUAGUAAUCGCGGAUCAGCACGCCGCGGUGAAUACGUUCCCGGGUCUUGUACACACCGCCCGUCACACCAUGGGAGUUUGUAAUGCCCAAAGCCGGUGGCCUAACCUUUUAGGAAGGAGCCGUCUAAGGCAGGACAGAUGACUGG